rnacentral:rRNA from 1 species
GACGAACGCUGGCGGCACGCCUAACACAUGCAAGUCGAACGGACUUACGAGAGCUUGCUUUUUUAAGUUAGUGGCGGACGGGUGUGUAACACAUGAGCAACCUGCCCCUGAGAGGGGGAUAUCUUCUGGAGACGGCUGGUAAUACCCCAUAAAAUAUAAAUAUCGCAUGAGAGCUAUAUCAAAGAAAUUCGAUCAGAGAUGGGCUCGCGUCUGAUUAGAUAGUUGGUGAGGUAACUGCUCACCAAGUCGACGAUCAGUAGCCGGGCUGAGAGGCUGAACGGACACACUGGGACUGAGACACAGUCGAGACUCCUACGCGAGGCAGGAGAGGCGGAUAGAGCACAAUGGAGGGAGCUCUGAUGGUGUUAGGCCGGGUGGAGGAAGUAAGUUGGCGGAAAGUAAAGUCCUAUUAUCCGGGACGGUAUUGACGGUACCUAAAGAAAAAGCUCCGGCUAACUACGUG